UUAUGGCCAUAUCACAUUGAAACACCAGUUCUCAUACGAUCACUGAAGUUAAACAACAUCAAGCCUGGUCAGUACCUAGAUGAGUGACUGCUUGGGAAUACCAGGUUAU
rnacentral:rRNA from 1 species